GGUUUUCAAGCUUAAAAAAUUGCAGCUGAAGGAUUUUGUAGAAGGUGCUGUGAAAGGCAAUGGCAGAGAUCCAGUUUAUCAAAAGUUCUUAUAUACAUAAGAAUACAUGGAUAUAAGAUUGUUUUUCAGGAAUUCAAAUAAAAUGUGAUAAAUUGGAUUAAUAAAAACUAUUUUGAAUUUUGAAAA